rnacentral:ncRNA from 1 species
AUCCUGCAUAGUAAAGUUUAACUAACAGCCAUUAGCGAGUCUUGAGGUGUCUUGAGGUGCAAUGGGUGACUGUUGCAGUUAAGCGUAGACAGCAAACUGGUGGGCCGUAAACCGAUAGGUUGAAUUAGAAUAGCUCCGAAAUCCCAAAACAGGUAAAACCGAUAUGUUGGUCUGUAUAAAAGGCAGUAUUGAUAUAAUCGUUAUAGUAAGAGUAUAUCAAUUUACCCGGAGCCGAAG